rnacentral:rRNA from 1 species
UACAGAGGUCUCAAGCGUUGUUCGGAUUCAUUGGGCGUAAAGGGUGCGUAGGUGGCGCCCGUAAGUCGGGGUGUGAAAUUUCGGAGCUUAACUCCGAAACUGCAUUCGAUACUGCGGUGCUUGAGGACUGGAGAGGAGACUGGAAUUCAUGGUGUAGCAGUGAAAUGCGUAGAGAUCAUGAGGAAGACCAGUGGCGAAGGCGGGUCUCUGGACAGUUCCUGACACUGAGGCACGAAGGCCAGGGGAGCAAACGGG